rnacentral:rRNA from 1 species
AUUGAACGCUGGCGGCAGGCCUAACACAUGCAAGUCGAACGGUAACAGGAAGAAGCUUGCUUCUUUGCUGACGAGUGGCGGACGGGUGAGGAAUGUCUGGGAAACUGCCUGAUGGAGGGGGAUAACUACUGGAAACGGUAGCUAAUACCGCAUAACGUCGCAAGACCAAAAAGGGGGACCUUCGGGCCUCUUGCCAUCGGAUGUGCCCAGAUGGGAUUAGCUAGUAGGUGGGGUAACGGCUCACCUAGGCGACGAUCCCUAGCUGGUCUGAGAGGAUGACCAGCCACACUGGAACUGAGACACGGUCCAGACUCCUACGGGAGGCAGCAGUGGGGAAUAUUGCACAAUGGGCGCAAGCCUGAUGCAGCCAUGCCGCGUGUAUGAAGAAGGCCUUCGGGUUGUAAAGUACUUUGAGCGGGGAGGAAGGGAGUAAAGUUAAUACCUUUGCUCAUUGACGUUACCCGCAGAAGAAGCACCGGCUAACUCCGUG